rnacentral:rRNA from 1 species
CAGCCGCCGCGUAAUACGGAGGGUGCAAGCGUUAUCCGGAUUUAUUGGGUUUAAAGGGUCCGUAGGCGGAUCUGUAAGUCAGUGGUGAAAUCUCACAGCUUAACUGUGAAACUGCCAUUGAUACUGCAGGUCUUGAGUAAAUUUGAAGUGGCUGGAAUAAGUAGUGUAGCGGUGAAAUGCAUAGAUAUUACUUAGAACACCAAUUGCGAAGGCAGGUCACUAAGAUUUAACUGACGCUGAUGGACGAAAGCGUGGGGAGCGAACAGGAUUAGAUACCCCUGUAGUCCCUGUCUCUUAUACA